rnacentral:rRNA from 1 species
GACGUAGGGCGCGAGCGUUGUCCGGAUUUAUUGGGCGUAAAGAGCUCGUAGGCGGCUUGUCGCGUCGACUGUGAAAACCUGGGGCUCAACCCCGGGCCUGCAGCCGAUACGGGCAAGCUAGAGUUCGGUAGGGGAGACUGGAAUUCAUGGUGUAGCAGUGAAAUGCGUAGAGAUCAUGAGGAAGACCAGUGGCGAAGGCGGGUCUCUGGACAGUUCCUGACACUGAGACACGAAGGCCAGGGGAGCAAACGGG